rnacentral:misc_RNA from 1 species
AUACUUUCCACAAGCAUUGGACACGAUGGCAAAUCCAACUGUUAUCUUGAAAAAGCAAGGAGAAAUCGUCAUUGAGGAUUGCCCAAUUCCAGAACCAAAACCAGGAGAGGUUCUCCUUCAAAUGCAAGAUGUUGGAAUCUGUGGCUCAGACGUUCACUAUUGGCAGCAUGGAAGAAUUGGAGACUUUGUUGUUAAAGCACCGAUGGUGCUUGGUCAUGAAGCCAGUGGGGUGGUCAGUAAAGUAGGAGAGGGUGUGUCCAACCUCAAAGUGGGUAAGUAUUCAGCUGUAGUCUUUAGUGUAAUUAUAACUUUGCAUGUCCACUUUUAGUUCUGGUGUCUAAGCCAGUUGAUAAUAACUGCUCAGGUGACCUAUGUGUAUUUUGGAAAUAAAAUAUAUUAACUUGUUCAUUUGGAUCAAAUCAGAAGCCAUUAUAAACUAGUUGGAUUUUGGGGUGUUGUAGGUGACCGGGUAGCCAUUGAGCCAGGUGUUCCCUGUCACACCUGUAAGAACUGUAAGAUUGGGCGGUACAACCUUUGUCCGGACAUGAAGUUCUGUUCCACGCCCCCUGUCCAUGGAAACCUGGCCAAAUUCUACACCCAUGCUGCGGACUUCUGUUUUAAGUUACCAGACAAUGUAAGCACAGAAGAGGGUGCUUUUCUGGAGCCCCUGUCUGUGGGGGUCCAUGCUUGCCGUAGGGCAGGGGUCAGUCUUGGGAGCAGGGUACUUGUUUGUGGGGCGGGGCCAAUCGGACUGGUCAACCUCAUGACGGCAAAAGCCAAUGGAGCUUCAGAAGUCUGUAUCACAGGUCAGAAUUUUAAAAAUAUGGUUAUACCUACAAUGCAAUUUUACUACGUGUAAGAAUGACUGUCUUUCUGAAUAAUUUAAAGCCAGAGAAUUUUGUGGAAGAAUGUUUUACUGUUAUCAGAAGUCAGCGAGCAAUUUUCGAUGUGAUAAUUAAUAAAUAUCAUUAUACAGUUUAGCUUUGAUAUCUUGAUCACUGAUAUCUUUAAUAUAAUGGACAUGUCAAAGUGAUUUGUAAGUUUCAACCAUUUAUUUUUUAAGCAUUAUACUCUUGAUAUUUCGAAUACUCGGAUAUCUAGAAGUUUUUAAACAGCCCCAUCUUAUUUGAGAUAAUGAAGUUUGCAUGUACUUUCAGUAUGCAAAAAAUCUGCAAUAGUAAUAUUGCACAGCUGCUGAAUAAAACAUUAUUGUUAUUAAAAUCCGUUCAUGUUUUUAUAGACAUUGAUGAGAAGAGGUUAGAAAUGGCCAAGGCUGUUGGAGCAGACUACACUGUGCUUGUCAAAAGUAGGGAUGGACAGGAAGUGGCCAGACAGAUAGAGGAAGUUAUGGGUCAGAAGCCAGAGAUCACCAUAGAAUGCAGUGGGGCACCACCAAGCAUACAGACAGCCAUUUAUGCAACAGAGUCGGGUGGCUGUGUAGUGUUGGUUGGACUAGGACCAGCUGAUGUCACUUUGCCGAUUGUUAAUGCUUCUGUUCGUGAAGUCGAUAUUCGAGGAAUUUUCAGAUAUGUAAACUGCUAUCCAACAGCACUGGCCAUGAUUGCUUCAGGUAAAGUUAACGUCAAGCCUCUCAUCACCCACCGAUUCAAACUCCAGGACAGCGUGAAAGCUUUUGAGACGGUUGCCAAGGGCGAGGGCAUAAAGGUCAUGAUUCAUUGUGCUUAGUUACCAGACAGGAAGUUGUAUGAAAACCAGUAGACUAACAGCAGACAUGGAUUACUGGAAUGAUUAGGUUUCAGAAAAGAUAACCAGAAAUUGGAUGGUGUCUUGAGCCAAUGAUAUGGAAAAUGUUUAAAUGUGGUGCUUAAUUCAUUAUCUUUGCGUAAAUUCGCAGUAUGUGAAAAUCAGUACAAGAAUAUUGAAGUAUUAAGAUGAUCUGACCAUAGUCUCAUUUUCAUUUGUUGGCAUAUUGUGAAUUUCUUAUUUGAUUACCAGAUCUGAUUGAAUGUUUGAACUGAAUUUGUGCAACAUUUGAUUGAUUGAUUUAUUUGUCUGUGAUAAUGCCAAUAUGGUGUAGGAUUCAUAUAAUCAUUAGCAUUAAACAUUGUAUCAAUUUC